UCAGAUUGAACGCUGGCGGCAGGCCUAACACAUGCAAGUCGAGCGGUAGCACAGAGAGCUUGCUCUCGGGUGACGAGCGGCGGACGGGUGAGUAAUGUCUGGGAAACUGCCUGAUGGAGGGGGAUAACUACUGGAAACGGUAGCUAAUACCGCAUAAUGUCGCAAGACCAAAGUGGGGGACCUUCGGGCCUCAUGCCAUCAGAUGUGCCCAGAUGGGAUUAGCUAGUAGGUGGGGUAACGGCUCACCUAGGCGACGAUCCCUAGCUGGUCUGAGAGGAUGACCAGCCACACUGGAACUGAGACACGGUCCAGACUCCUACGGGAGGCAGCAGUGGGGAAUAUUGCACAAUGGGCGCAAGCCUGAUGCAGCCAUGCCGCGUGUAUGAAGAAGGCCUUCGGGUUGUAAAGUACUUUCAGCGGGGAGGAAGGCGAUAAGGUUAAUAACCUUGUCGAUUGACGUUACCCGCAGAAGAAGCACCGGCUAACUCCGUGCCAGCAGCCGCGGUAAUACGGAGGGUGCAAGCGUUAAUCGGAAUUACUGGGCGUAAAGCGCACGCAGGCGGUCUGUCAAGUCGGAUGUGAAAUCCCCGGGCUCAACCUGGGAACUGCAUUCGAAACUGGCAGGCUAGAGUCUUGUAGAGGGGGGUAGAAUUCCAGGUGUAGCGGUGAAAUGCGUAGAGAUCUGGAGGAAUACCGGUGGCGAAGGCGGCCCCCUGGACAAAGACUGACGCUCAGGUGCGAAAGCGUGGGGAGCAAACAGGAUUAGAUACCCUGGUAGUCCACGCCGUAAACGAUGUCGAUUUGGAGGUUGUGCCCUUGAGGCGUGGCUUCCGGAGCUAACGCGUUAAAUCGACCGCCUGGGGAGUACGGCCGCAAGGUUAAAACUCAAAUGAAUUGACGGGGGCCCGCACAAGCGGUGGAGCAUGUGGUUUAAUUCGAUGCAACGCGAAGAACCUUACCUGGUCUUGACAUCCACAGAACUUACCAGAGAUGCUUUGGUGCCUUCGGGAACUGUGAGACAGGUGCUGCAUGGCUGUCGUCAGCUCGUGUUGUGAAAUGUUGGGUUAAGUCCCGCAACGAGCGCAACCCUUAUCCUUUGUUGCCAGCGGUUCGGCCGGGAACUCAAAGGAGACUGCCAGUGAUAAACUGGAGGAAGGUGGGGAUGACGUCAAGUCAUCAUGGCCCUUACGACCAGGGCUACACACGUGCUACAAUGGCAUAUACAAAGAGAAGCGACCUCGCGAGAGCAAGCGGACCUCAUAAAGUAUGUCGUAGUCCGGAUUGGAGUCUGCAACUCGACUCCAUGAAGUCGGAAUCGCUAGUAAUCGUAGAUCAGAAUGCUACGGUGAAUACGUUCCCGGGCCUUGUACACACCGCCCGUCACACCAUGGGAGUGGGUUGCAAAAGAAGUAGGUAGCUUAACCUUCGGGAGGGCGCUUACCACUUUGUGAUUCAUGACUGGGGUGAAGUCGUAAC
rnacentral:rRNA from 1 species